AGGAUGAACGCUAGCGACAGGCUUAACACAUGCAAGUCGAGGGGCAGCACAGGUAGCAAUACCGGGUGGCGACCGGCGCACGGGUGAGUAACGCGUAUGCAACUUGCCUAUCAGAGGGGGAUAACCCGGCGAAAGUCGGACUAAUACCGCAUGAAGCAGGGGCCCCGCAUGGGGAUAUUUGCUAAAGAUUCAUCGCUGAUAGAUAGGCAUGCGUUCCAUUAGGCAGUUGGCGGGGUAACGGCCCACCAAACCGACGAUGGAUAGGGGUUCUGAGAGGAAGGUCCCCCACAUUGGUACUGAGACACGGACCAAACUCCUACGGGAGGCAGCAGUGAGGAAUAUUGGUCAAUGGCCGAGAGGCUGAACCAGCCAAGUCGCGUGAGGGAUGAAGGUUCUAUGGAUCGUAAACCUCUUUUAUAAGGGAAUAAAGUGCGGGACGUGUCCCGUUUUGUAUGUACCUUAUGAAUAAGGAUCGGCUAACUCCGUGCCAGCAGCCGCGGUAAUACGGAGGAUCCGAGCGUUAUCCGGAUUUAUUGGGUUUAAAGGGUGCGUAGGCGGCCUUUUAAGUCAGCGGUGAAAGUCUGUGGCUCAACCAUAGAAUUGCCGUUGAAACUGGGGGGCUUGAGUAUGUUUGAGGCAGGCGGAAUGCGUGGUGUAGCGGUGAAAUGCAUAGAUAUCACGCAGAACCCCGAUUGCGAAGGCAGCCUGCCAAGCCAUUACUGACGCUGAUGCACGAAAGCGUGGGGAUCAAACAGGAUUAGAUACCCUGGUAGUCCACGCAGUAAACGAUGAUCACUAGCUGUUUGCGAUACACUGUAAGCGGCACAGCGAAAGCGUUAAGUGAUCCACCUGGGGAGUACGCCGGCAACGGUGAAACUCAAAGGAAUUGACGGGGGCCCGCACAAGCGGAGGAACAUGUGGUUUAAUUCGAUGAUACGCGAGGAACCUUACCCGGGUUUGAACGCAUUCGGACCGAGGUGGAAACACCUUUUCUAGCAAUAGCCGUUUGCGAGGUGCUGCAUGGUUGUCGUCAGCUCGUGCCGUGAGGUGUCGGCUUAAGUGCCAUAACGAGCGCAACCCUUGCCACUAGUUACUAACAGGUAAAGCUGAGGACUCUGGUGGGACUGCCAGCGUAAGCUGCGAGGAAGGCGGGGAUGACGUCAAAUCAGCACGGCCCUUACAUCCGGGGCGACACACGUGUUACAAUGGCGUGGACAAAGGGAGGCCACCUGGCGACAGGGAGCGAAUCCCCAAACCACGUCUCAGUUCGGAUCGGAGUCUGCAACCCGACUCCGUGAAGCUGGAUUCGCUAGUAAUCGCGCAUCAGCCAUGGCGCGGUGAAUACGUUCCCGGGCCUUGUACACACCGCCCGUCAAGCCAUGGGAGCCGGGGGUACCUGAAGUCCGUAACCGAAAGGAUCGGCCUAGGGUA
rnacentral:rRNA from 1 species